rnacentral:tRNA from 1 species
GUUGUGAUCGUAUAGUGGUUAAUACUCUGCAUUGUGGCCUCAGAAACCCUAGUUCGAAUCUGGGUCAAGGCA